rnacentral:rRNA from 1 species
GAUGAACGCUGGCGGCGUGCUUAACACAUGCAAGUCGAACGAUAAAGCCCAGCUUGCUGGGUGUAUUAGUGGCGAACGGGUGAGUAACACGUGAGUAACCUGCCCUUAACUCUGGGAUAAGCCUGGGAAACUGGGACUAAUACCGGAUAGGAGCGCCUACCGCAUGGUGGGUGUUGGAAAGCUUUUUCGGUUUUGGAUGGACUCGCGGCCAAUCAGCUUGUUGGGGAGGGAAUGGCUCACCAAGGCGAAGACGGGUAUCCGGCCUGAGAGGGUGACCGGCCACACUGGGACUGAGGGACGGCCCAGACUCCUACGGGAGGCAGCAGUGGGGAAUAUUGCCCAAUGGUCGAAAGCCUGAUGCAGCGACGCCGCGUGAGGGAUGACGGCCUUCGGGUUGUAAAACUCUUUCAGUAGGGACGAAGCGAAAGUGACGGUACCUGCAGAAGAAGCACCGGCUAACUACGUG